CUCGUGUCGUGAGAUGUUGGUUAAGUCCGCAACGAGCGCAACCCUAUGUUAGUUGCCAUCAUUCAGUUGGGCACUCUAGCGAGACUGCCGGUAAUAAACCGGAGGAAGUGGGGAUGACGUCAAAUCAUCAUGCCCCUUAUGACCUGGGCUACACACGUGCUACAAUGGUUGGUACAACGAGUUGCGAGUCGGUGACGGCGAGCUAAUCUCUUAAAGCCAAUCUCAGUUCGGAUUGUAGGCUGCAACUCGCCUACAUGAAGUCGGAAUCGCUAGUAAUCGCGGAUCAGCACGCCGCGGUGAAUACGUUCCCGGGCCUU
rnacentral:rRNA from 1 species